rnacentral:lncRNA from 1 species
ACUAUCAAUCACAGGUAUGUGGGAAUCCACAGGACCGGACUCUGUCCUGCCUCUCAUCUCCUAAGGGCAUCUGAAAAUUGAGAUGAGAUCCAGGAAGAUGCAGUUCAAUCUCAGGCUCUCCAGGAAUCCCACUCCUUUGGCUGUACUGACCCCUUUCCAGAAUCACAGUGUCCUGGUGUCCUUCACCCAGAGAAGGGCCAGAGGUCCACAUGGUCAUUCAACUACAGAGAGCAGACUGAGCAUCUGAACUUGAAGAUGCCACUAGGGAAUUCCAAAGAUGCCUGAAAUCCAUCACCUUGAAUUAUUCUUGAAUUACCUAUCAUGACUAGAGGUCCUGUAAUCACUGUCUACCACACCACCAUGAAGUUUAACUCUGCAUUAAAAACAUCUGUUUCACAAAAUCAGAAAAGUGAAAGAGGCUAGAGCAACAGCUCAGUGGAUGGAAAAGAGCCCUUUUUACUCUUCUAGAGGAUGGGGUUAAGUAUUGGCAAGGGUAGGGAAGACAGGAAACCCUUGUUCUUGAAUGGUUCAAAUGUAAAUUAAUUUAGCUAUAAUAGAAAACAUCAAAAAUUGAGCUCUCUGGCAGGCAAGAUGGCUCAGUCAAAUUGUGAUAUUACAUGCUACAUAAAUGUGAUUUGUGUUUGUCAAAUAUAUAUCAAUUAAACUGGAAAAGAGAAAAGGCCUCAGCUUGCAAGCAUAUCAGACUUCUAGACUUCCUCCUCCUCUUUUUUUUUUUUUUUUUUUUUUUUUUUUGGUUAAGGUAACUGAGGAGCUCUUAAGUGACUUACACAUUUCACAGUAUCACCACCUCAGUCACAGCCACCAUCAUCUCCUGCUACAGCUGUUGCAAUGGCCUUGAACAGCUCCCUGUUCCUACCCUCACAUCUAUUCACUCUCAACUAUAGAGACAGAGCCUUUAGUGAGAGCUCAAUCAACUCCAUGAAAUCCCCAUUGGAUUUCGCUGUCACUUGAAACAUUGCCCUUUCCACUGGCUUGAGGGCCUAUAAGAUCUUCUUGGACCUCCGCUCUAGCUGUUCUUCCUCCCCAACCCCUAGGUUCCAUUUCCUAGGCCUCCUUCAUUGCCUCUAGCUCUUCCACACACUCUUGCUUUGCAGUUGGUCCUUGCGUUUGC